GGAGUGGACGCAUCACUGGUGUUCGGGUUGUCAUGCCAAUGGCACUGCCCGGUAGCUAAAUGCGGAAGAGAUAAGUGCUGAAAGCAUCUAAGCACGAAACUUGCCCCGAGAUGAGUUCUCCCUGACUCCUUGAGAGUCCUGAAGGAACGUUGAAGACGACGACGUUGAUAGGCCGGGUGUGUAAGCGCAGCGAUGCGUUGAGCUAACCGGUACUAAUGAACCGUGAGGCUUAACCUUACAACGCCGAAGCUGUU
rnacentral:rRNA from 1 species